GUAGGUGGCAAGCGUUGUCCGGAAUUAUUGGGCGUAAAGCGCGCGCAGGCGGUUCUUUAAGUCUGAUGUGAAAGCCCACGGCUCAACCGUGGAGGGUCAUUGGAAACUGGAGAACUUGAGUACAGAAGAGGAAAGCGGAAUUCCACGUGUAGCGGUGAAAUGCGUAGAGAUGUGGAGGAACACCAGUGGCGAAGGCGGCUUUUCUGGUCUGUAACUGACGCUGAGGCGCGAAAGCGUGGGGAGCAAACAGGGAUUAGAUACCCUGGUAGUCCACGCCGUAAACGAUGAGUGCUAAGUGUUAGGGGGUUUCCGCCCCCUUAGUGCUGCAGCUGACGCAUUAAGCACUCCGCCUGGGAGUACGGCCGCAAGGCUG
rnacentral:rRNA from 1 species